rnacentral:lncRNA from 1 species
GUGACGUUCCCUACGCGGUCGGGCGUUGGGUUUCGCGGCGCUCGCCGCACUGGUUGUUCAGCACCUUCGGUCCGGUUGAGGUUGUCAAGUCGGACCAAACAGGUUGUUUCUCUGCAGUUUCCAACAUGGCAGGGAGGUUUAAUAGACAUGGAUAAGAAGUCCACUCACAGAAAUCCUGAAGAUGCCAGGGCUGGCAAAUAUGAAGGUAAACACAAACGAAAGAAAAGAAGAAAGCAAAACCAAAACCAGCACCGAUCCCGACAUAGAUCAGUGACGUCUUUUUCUUCAGAUGAUCCUAUGUUUCCUUCUUCCUCAUCAUCGUCUUCAGGAAGCCAGACAGAUUCAAGUAUUGAAGAUGCUGCCAAGGGAAAAAUUAAGAAGAAGAGAAGAGAGAAAACAAAUAAAUGGGAAAAAAGAAAGGACAAAAUAUGAAACACCAAGAAAAAGAGAAGGAAAAAAAGGAGGAAACAACCACAUAUGUCACCUUUCCAAGAGGGACUGAAACUGGGCUGACCCUUUUGAUUUCCAAGCUCAGCGUUUUGGUGUAAGGCGGCCAAAGAAGGAUGCGGAGCCCAGCACUGUGAAGCCUACAAAAACAUUGAUGCGCUGGCUUGGGGAUUUGAAUUUGAACAUCUUUCACACUAAGUUCAGACUCAUGAAACCAAUCUUCAGAUGCUCUGUAAACCACAUAAUAAAGAGUUUGGAAAUUAUAUUUUGUUUUUGAAGGCCCACGUGCAAAACUUGAGAGCCUCAAGUCCAAGCCAGUUGUGGCAAUUCUAGCCUACUUUUUUUUUAUAUUCAAGUGUGUUGUAGGGAAGGAGGAGAAUAAGUCUGCUUUCUUGAAUAUUAUGCCUAAUUAAUUACGUAUAAAAUACUUUUACCAAAGUUCUAUGCAAGGUAGAAGACUUACAGAUGGCAUGAAAAAGAUAAAGUCUUUUCCAUGUUUUUUUUUUUUUUUUUUUUUUUUUUUGAGACAGAGUUUCACUCUGGUCGCCCAGGCUGGAGUGCAGUGGGCCAGUGUCGCCUCACGGCAACCUCCGCCUCCCAGGUUCAAGUGCUUCUCCUGCCUCAGCCUCCUGAGUAUCUGGGACUACAGGUCCAUGCCACCACACCCAGCUGAUUUUGUAUUUCUAGUAGAGACAUGGUUUCGCUAUUUUGUCCAGGCUGCUCUCGAACUCCUGACCUCAGGUUAUCUGUUCCCCACGGCAUCCCAAAGUGCUGGGAUUACAGGCGUGAACUACCGUGCUUGGCCUCUGUGUACUUCUUUUUUGUUGUUAUUGUUUUUGAGAUGGAGUUUCACUCUUGUCAUACAGGCUGGAGUGCAGUGGCGCCAUCUCAGCUCACUGCAACCUCUGUCUCCUGGGUUCAAGCGAUUCUCAUGCCUCAGCCUCCCAAGUAGCUGGGAUUACAGGUGUGCACCACCACGCCCAGCUAAUUUUUGUAUUUUUAGUAAAGACAGGGUUUCACCAUGUUGGCCAGGCUGGUCUCGAACUCCUAACCUCAGGUGAUCUACCCACUUCAGUCUCCCAAAGCGCUGGGAUUACAGGUGUGAGCCACCGUACCUGGCCCAUGUACUUCUUACUUAGUUUUUCUUCCCGCGUCUUAUGUUUACAUUUGCAAUUAUGUCUUCUUCUUUCAACAAAUAUUACAGGUUUUCAUAAUCUCAAAUAUUUGUUUUUAGAGCAUGAUGUAAUGUUCCUUUGCAUUAGGUACACUGAUUGUGGGUUUCCAACAAAAAGUUUUCAGGUCUAAAAAUGAUCACAUCAUGCAGUAUACCCAGGAAUCAAACCUGCACAUCUAUCCCCUAAGUCUAAAAAUGAAAGUUGAAAAAAAUAAAAAUUAUAUAAGAAAAAAAUUAUCACAGUGUUUUAUAAAAUAAGAAAGCAGACCACGCGUGGUGACUGAGGCUUGUAAUCCCAGCACUUUAGGAGGCCAAGGCAGGCGGAUUGCUUUAGCUCAGGAGUUUGAGGCCAGCCUGGCCGAAAUGGUGAAACUCUGUCUCUACAAACACACACACACACACACGGUGAAACUCUGUCUCUACAAACACACACACACACACACACACACACACACAAAUUUAGCCAGGCAUGGUGGCACAUGCCUGUAGUCCCAGCUACUCGGGAGGCUGAGGUGGGAGGAUUGCUUGAGCUUGGGAGGCAGAGGCUGCGGUGAGCGAAGAUCACACCACUGCACUCCAGCCUGGGCGCCAGAGCAAGACUCUGUCUACAAAAAACAACAAACAGAAACAGCAAUUUGCCAGAGGAAACCCGGGUGCCACCAAGAUGCCGGCUUACCACUCUUCUCUCAUGGAUCCUGACAACAAACUCAUUGGAAACAUGGCAUUCUUAUCUAUCAAAAGUCAAUUCAAAGGACCUGCCCCUAGAGAGACAAAAGAUAGAGAUAUUGUGGAUGAAGCCAUUUAUUACUUCAAGGCCAAUGUCUUCUUCAAAAACUAUGAAAUUAAGAAUGAAGCUGACAGGACCUUGAUAUAUAUACCUCUCUACAUUUCUGAGUGUCUGAAGAAACUCCAAAAGUGUAAUUCCAGAAGCCAAGGUGAGAAAGAAAUGUAUACACAGGGAAUCAAUAAUUUUCCUGUUCCUGAAGAGCCUAGUUUUCCACUUAAUGCAAUUUAUGCCAAACCUGCAAACAGGAAGAUGAAGUGAUGAGAGCCUGUUUACAACAGCUAAGGCAAGAGACUGGACUGAGACUUUGUGAGCAAGUUUUCAACCCUCAGAAUGAUCAACCCAGCACGUGGUGGACUUGCUUUGUGAAGAGACAGUUCAUGAACAAGAGUCUUUCAGGACCUGGACAGUGAAGGGAGCCCAGGCAGCCACCAUCUCCAGAGCCCUGAGCAGCAUUUUCCAGCAAGAUGUACACAAUCUUUUGCCUUUAUUUCAUAAAGUUUUAUACAGAAGAGAGAAGACCAGAAAAGCAUGUCUUUACUUGAAAAACUCUUGAUCAAGAAUUCGGGUGGGAGCAAAGAAAGUGGGUUAUCAAGGGUUAUUUGAAAUUUUCUGUAGUAUUAAGCUGGCACUUAAUAAGAAUAAUAAUAAAGAAAUUUCUAACAUUCAAAAAAAUAACAAUUAGAAACUCAUAUAUUAGCAUAAAUAAUACACAUGUUUAUGAAAUAAUAAUUAGGCCAGGUGUGGUGGCUCACACCUGUAAUCUCAACAUUUUGGGAGGGCAAAGUGUGCAGAUUGCUUUAGUUUUGAGACCAGCCUAGGCAACGUGGUGAAACCCCAUCUCUACUAAAAAUUAGACAGUCAUGGUAGCACGUGCCUGUAGUCCCAGCUACCUGGGAGGCUAAGAUGGGAGGAUCACCUGAGCCUAGGAGAUCGAGGCUGCAGUGAACCAUGAUCGUACCACUGCACUCCAUCCAGCCUGGGACACAGAGUGAGACCCUGUCUUAAAAACAACAACAGCAACAAAACAAACAGUAGCUUUGUUUUAACACUUUUCAAAUCUAAUGUCUGGAGUGGUACAAACACCCUAAGGUGUUACCAGUGAGUUUUGUGAGUGCAGGAAAAUCUGUGCCUUGCUUCUAGCCAAAAGAAUAUGGCAAAAGGGAUGAUACAGUGACUCCCAUAAUCAUAUUAUGUUAUAUAAGACUCUAUCAUAGCUGACUGGAGGGAGAUUUCCCUGCUGGCUUUGAAGAAAUAAGUGGCCAUGUUGUGAGAGGACCACGUGGCAAGGACUUGUGGAUGACCUCUGGUUGCUUAGAGCAGUCCUUAGCCAACAGCUAGCCAUUAAAUAAGGCCUUCAGUGCUACAAGACACUGAAUUCUGCCUACAACCAGCGAGCUUGGAUAAGGAUCUGAGCCUUAGAUGAGAUUGCAGCCCUGGCCAACUCCUUGAUUUUAGCAUUGUGAGACCCUGAGAAAAAACCCUGAGGAGCUCGUCUGAACCUAGACUCCCAACCCAUGGAAAACUGAUAUAAUAAGUGAGUGUUGUCUUAAGCUGCUAAAGUGAUAAUUUGUACACAGUAAUAGAAAACUGAUAUAUAUGGCUUCUUACAUUGGCUUCUGCAUUCAACUAUUGCAACAUGUUGUUUUAAUUGAAGUACAUAAAGAAAAUCCAGCCUCACACAGAUCAGUUAUGUAGCU